rnacentral:rRNA from 1 species
CAGUAGCCGCGGUAAUACGGAGGGUGCAAGCGUUAUCCGGAUUUAUUGGGCGUAAAGCGUGCGUAGGCGGCUUUUUAAGUCGGAUGUGAAAUCCCUGAGCUUAACUUAGGAAUUGCAUUCGAUACUGGGAAGCUAGAGUAUGGGAGAGGAUGGUAGAAUUCCAGGUGUAGCGGUGAAAUGCGUAGAGAUCUGGAGGAAUACCGAUGGCGAAGGCAGCCAUCUGGCCUAAUACUGACGCUGAGGUACGAAAGCAUGGGGAGCAAACAGGAUUAGAUACCCCAGUAGUCCCUGUCUCUUAUAC